rnacentral:misc_RNA from 1 species
GAUUGAAGGUGGGGUUCCCAGUUCUUUUGGGAAUUUGACACGUUUACGUCAUCUGGACAUGUCUAAUACUCAGACAGUCCAAUGGCUUCCUGAGUUGUUUCUCAGGUUAUCAGGCAGCAGGAAAUCACUUGAGGUUUUGGGGUUGAACGAAAACUCAUUGUUUGGUUCAAUUGUUAAUGCAACAAGAUUUUCAUCCUUAAAGAAAUUAUACCUGCAGAAGAAUAUGCUGAAUGGUUCUUUUAUGGAAAGUGCGGGACAAGUUUCUACCCUUGAGUAUCUGGAUUUGUCUGAAAACCAAAUGAGAGGGGCAUUACCAGAUUUAGCAUUGUUUCCAUCAUUGAGAGAGUUGCAUCUUGGCUCUAAUCAAUUUCGAGGGAGGAUACCACAAGGUAUCGGAAAACUUUCACAGCUUAGAAUUUUGGAUGUCUCGUCCAAUAGACUGGAAGGACUACCAGAAAGUAUGGGGCAACUAUCUAA